ACAUACGACCAUAGACUCAAGAGAACUGGGCAUCCCGUCCGCUCUGCCAUACAUAACCUUGAGAUCGGUGGAUUAGUAGUUGGGUGGGUGACCACCAGCGAAUACCUACUGUUGUAUGUC
rfam:Pseudogymnoascus pannorum VKM F-3775 contig_2548, whole genome shotgun sequence.